rnacentral:lncRNA from 1 species
UCCAACAAAAGGUGCUACUUAUGAAUUAAACCCCUGUUGUAAUAGUCCAAAACCCAAAUAUAUGGCAGAAAGGGUUCAAUCCACUCAAAAAAAAUCAUAAUGACAAAAUUAAAGUCCUAAUACAACUCUAAGAAUGUACUGUUGACAGUAUGAUUGAAUGUAGUAAAAUUACAUAUAAAGCUAAUUUAAUAAGAAAAAACAUAAAUAAACUUUGAAGAACAUAGACUAAUCUAUAAUCAUCUAAUCAUUCAUCCAUAAAUAUCCAAACCAAUUACAUGGCUUCAAACUUGUAUUUCACACGUUCAUAGGGUCCAUGAAGUACCUGAGGGUAGAAAUUAAAGCAAAAGAAGAUGAGGAAAUCAGCAGCAAUAGAACAGUGCAAAUCAGCAAAUUCGACCUCCUUAAACUUUGGACCCAGACCAACCAGGAAACCUUUGAGGUGUUAAAAUUAAACUAAUAGUGCCAAUCAAAGUGUAAUUCCAAGCGGUUUUUAACUAAGAAUGAUGCAGAGAAUUUUUUCUGUCUUUUCAAGGUGUGAGUGUGUGUGUAAAGAGUGAAGGGAAGGCCUUAUUUAUACAACAGAAAUCUGUUGUGUGCCUUCCAAGGCAGGGAAAUUGGAUUUUCCCAAAAUACCCCUCACAUGGCAUCUUUUCUUAACAGAAAAUGGAUAGCUGUCUUUUCCUCAUUGGUCUCAGCACUUCAGUUAACCAAAGGAGGCCAGCUACCCUCUAUUCUAGAACCUUCCAGCUGAUCUUUAUCUUGUUGCACUUACCCAAUCAUUCAAACAGACCCCUCAAGUUUCCUUUUUUGUGCAAUUAAGACCCCAAGAGUUCCUACUAAUUAACAAGCUAGGACUAACAACAAAAUCCAGAAUCAAAGAAACAAUGAAGAUCAAGAAACCAAAUACUGAUUAACUUUAAACCUGUAACUAAAUCCGAAUCCAUUUAUUAAUGAACUUGAAAUUAACAUGACACAUACAGGAACACUUGAAUCUAGUAUGAAUCCGGAAUUCCUAACCCAAGGGCCAUCCUCAGAGAAUUAGACCUAGUCCGGGAACCAAACAACAACAAGAAACUAAUAUGCUCAAUUUUGGAUACUAACAUGUCGCAAUUUCAAUUUUCCUAAUAAACAAACCACUAAGCAGAAUCAAAACUAAGAACCACCAGAAAUAACAUCUAAACAUGCUGAUAACUAAACAUGCGGCCAAAUCAACAAUAACAUGCAGAGAACAGAAUUGAACAAAGAAAAAGAAAAGGAAAUUACCUAUACUCUCCUUUUAAUGCUAGAAUUAUUCGCUCAAACCACAAGCCAUAAAGUGAACUCGAACUACCGUUAACCGACUGUUCUUAACAAGAACAGUCGACUAACGGAUGUUUUGAGUUCACUCGAACAUCACACGACCCCAAAAAACGAAAAAGGAAAACAGAAAUCAGAGCUCAACAAUUCAGCUUCGAGAUUUGAACCUUUUUAGUGGUGCUUUCGGGGAAAUUAAGGAUAGAAGUGGGGAGAGGAAAGGACAACAGUCGCCAUGUAUCGAUUUGGGAAUGUUUGGAGGGAUUAGGGUUUUGGGAUUCCGAGUUUGGAUCUAAAAUUGAGGGAGUUUGAGAGGGAUUCAAAGGAAACGGGUUAGAGAUUUGGAAUGAGGGGAUGAAGGGGAUUCUAGGGUGUAAUUUUAGGGAGGAUUGGGGUUAUGCCGCCACCGGAGAUGGUGAGGAGUUAUAGGGCGGUGCUAGGGUUUUUUAGUCUCUGAAUAUAGAGACGAUGACUGAAGGGAAGUGAAAUGUGGGGUGGCCUAGGUUCGAACAAUUAUAUAUCUAAUGGGCAUCCAGUUCUGGUCUGUUGGAUCAAUGUGAUCCAACGGUGAUGAUCAAGGUGGGGAAGCGUCGUCGUUUAAUUAACAGGGGCAAUUAGACCGGGCCACUGACUGGGCUGGGGCGAGUUAGGAGGGAGUUGGGCUAGGGAUUUUUGGUCUUGGCCCAAAUUGGGUUUUAAAUUCCUUUUCCCUUCUUUUAUUUUAUUAUUCUUUUUAUAAUUGUUUUCCUUUCUUUUCAAUUAAUUAAAAAAACUAAAUUAGACUCUUAAAUUAAACUAAGCUGUAAAAUUAAGUUAAUUACCUACUAAAAUAUUUAUGAAAGUUAAUUACUCCUAAAUUAAAAGAAGAAAUUACUAAUUUAAUAUUAAAAGGCUAAAAAAUGCAAAAAAUGAGCCAUUUUUUGUGAUUUCUUAUUUUUUGUAAAAUAAUUAAUUUACUAAUUAACCUAAAAAUGUAAGAAUAAGCCCCACAUGCAAUGCAGAGUAUUUUUAUAUUUUUUUCAUGAUUUAAAUAAAAUAAACAUGUACAGACAACAACAACAACAACAACAACAACCCAGUAUAAUCCCACAAGUGAGGUUUGGGGAGGGUAAUAUGUACGCAGACCUUACCCCUACCCCGAGGGGCAGAGAGGCUGUUUCCAGGAGACCCUCGGCUCAAGAGAGAGACCACAGACAAACGCAACCAAUGGGAAAACAUUAUUUUCUUAGAGUCUAUGGGAGUAAUUCCUAUAGGGCAAAAAUCACGUGCUCACAAUGUAUUGAGACGGAGAUUAUUCCCUUUUUCACUUAGAGGGAAAGCUAGACGGAGAUUCCAUCACCACGUGGGAUGAGUUGGCCGACAAGUUUAUAGCCAAGGUUUUCUCACUGGGACAUAUGGCUGCAUUAAGGGAUGAGAUCUUAGCUUUUAAUUAGGAGCCAAAUGAACCCCUUCAUGAAAUUUGGGAGAGAUAGAGAACUAUGGUCAAGAAAUGCCCUAACAAUGAUGUCACACCUCCUUUUUACCUACACCCCGAAAGGGUAUAAGGGAGUUUUUUCAAUUUAAGUGACAAUUGAAAUGGGAUUAUUUUAUUAAAAUUUCAGAGUCGCCACUUGGGAUAAUUUUAUGGUGUCCCAAGUCACCGGUUCAAAUCCCGAAUCGAGGAAAAGAUUGACUCUAUUUUACAGUCCGCGAACACAGAAAUCUGGGUAAGGAAUUCUGUUAACCCGGGAGAAGGUGUUAGACAUUUCCAGAUUCUGUGGUUCUAGCACGGUCGCUCAACUGUUAUAAUUGGCCUAUUAUCUGAUUUUAAUACAUGUUUUAGCCUAUGGUUUUAUUUUAACUUCACUGCUUCCAUUUAAUUAUUUUUUUUUAGGAAGAUCUCAACGUCAUUUAAAAUACGUCUUGAACCACGUACAUAAAUGCACCCGAGAUUCUCGACAUAUUUUAUCUAACAUUGUUGAGAUUCGGAUUGGGGUCACAUAAAUGCGCACCCGAGUUUAGGAAGGUAAAUUAUUAAAAUGACGCGCCUAAAGCAACUACGCAUUUGCAACUUUGCAAGGGCCAUGGAAAAUUCUACUAAAUGGCUCGCCUCGAUUUCUAAGGAUUAAAAUAGUAAUUAAGCUAAGGCCACGCAUUUUGAGGUUUUGUUCGGCAUGGCACACCUCAAUCCCAAUCCUUAAAGGAAAUUCGAAAUCAAGCUUUUGAGGGCCAUAAAUUGUAUGUUUGGCUAAUAUGGCACACCUCAAAUUAAUUACAACAACUAAUUGAAUUGAUGUGACUUAAGGCCGAGAUACGCGACUACUAGAGAAAGGAGGAGGGGCGUUGGGAUUUCAGGAGUUGGACUGCCCCUGUUAGUUAACAUUAGUAACAAUAAUUAAAUGAUACUUUGGGCCCAAAAGCAGGCCCAGGACAAACGAAGAAAGCUUAACUAUUCCUUAUUUCCAGGGGGGCCUUAAGGACCAGGCCCAAAAGUCAGUUGGGCCUAAUAGCCCUGAUCAGCACAUGACAAAUUGGUAUUCAUAGAAACGAGAAAUGAAGCACACCUAAAUGAUCAUUGUUUUUCUAAAAAAAAAACUAAACACUUAACAAGAAUAAGAGUUCACAUCUCAAUUUCAAAUAGGAUAAAUUAUAAACAUAUUACGUGAAGUUCGAAUCCCAAUUGUGACCUUGCCAACGACAAUGAAAACCUUACAUACUUUAGCAAGAUUUGUAACUUGCCAAACCAUAAAUUCAUUGUUUGAAUCAUAGUUCUUCAAGAACACAAAUGCCUCACUUGAAUUCUAGAAGACAAUGUGAUAAAAGAUUGUUAUACAAGUCUCAGAUUCUGAGUACCAAACUAAACCUGAAACCAGUUUAAGCUAGAUCGAAAGAAAAAUAAUGAAGCAAAUCUAGAUCACUGUUAUAGGAAGGCAGAUAUUCAUUAACACUUUUACUUAUGCACACAUCGAAACUCAGAAGUUAUGACAUUGAGGCACCAACCCAACUCACAUACAAGAUUUAGAUCAGUAAUACAGUGGACUUAAGAACCCAAAUUGUUAUAGUUAGAUGGAAGGAACAGAGGGCUGAGAGUUCAAUAAAAUGAAGGGGGAGUGGGAAAUACUCUUGGGCUUGUCAUUGAGCCCAAUCAUGACAAAACAGCAUGAGUCAAAAAUCAGAAAACCCAAAAUCACAUAACUGAUUAUGCAGCUUGUUUUCAGCAGGUUUGAACUUCAAGACGAAACUGGCUAAGGCAUUCACCCUUGAUCCUUAUGACUCGUUCAUUCAUUACAUUAAUUCCAUGUAAACUCAAUACUAUUCAACAACAUUUCGAGUCAUUUGACAAGUACUCAGUUAGGUAAUGAAGAUUAACCAACCUUAACUUAUGAAGCGACAAACAUAAUAAAUCUAAACUACUGAGAAAACCAGAUAGACAUCAGAUUGUGAUCCUCCAUAAUGCUGCAAGCUCUUCCUCAUACAAGAGUGAUACUAAUUUAGCUUUCAACUCUCAUGAAUCUGAUCAUAUCAAGAUCAGAUCCAUCAAGAGUCCUGCUGCAACAGGCUAAUCCUUGGCUAAUACACACAACUCAAAACAUGAAGAAAAUAUCAAGUACGAGUAAGCUAAACAGUACACAUAGAGCCCAAGCCCAACAGAUAUCCACUAAUGUAUUUGAAGUACAAGAGAAGCAUUUUUCCAGCAUAUGAAACAAGAAUCAGCAUGGAUAUAUAUUUGAUUGUUCACGUAACAUCUUUAACAUUUAUGUAAAGUCAUGAUUACAAGGGUUUUGGCAUAAGGUCAUGAUGUGUACCUUACUGCCUGAAAUCUGCUUCACAAUCUUAAAAAAAAUAUUCCAACAACAGAGGGUAAAGCAGCAAGCAACCAGCAACUACGAACCUUUUUAAUCCAUACUCAAAUCCCAAAAUUUCAACAGAUGUUCAAGACUUAAAACCGGAAAGAUGAAAACAAAUAACCAAUGAAACAGUGCUAGAACUUUCCUUUUCUUUUGUGUUUUUUUAUUCUGAAGUUCUACCCCUAUGUGUGUUUUUCAGUGCUUCAAGUAUAGAGAAUGCCACUUAAACCUUUCAGCCGUUUUUGGUUUUUCAGUCUUUUUCCUCCAAUCUCUUUUGAGCUUGAAGAAAGGAUCCCUUUAUAGGCAAGGUACUAGGGCAGCCUAAAGAAAUCAGAUUUUGCAUUUAUACCCUUUUGGAAUUUUGGUUUUUGCUUAGAAAUCCUUAAUGUAAAAUUCAAAACUUCAGUUUAGUCCCCACCUCAGCUUCCUAGAAGCUUCCUCAAACAAUUAUUCAG